rnacentral:tRNA from 1 species
GGUGAUAUAUUUUAAAAAAAAUACCUCCUUGCAAAGGUGGAGUUACAAUUCCAAGUUAUCACUU